CACGUAGGGCGCAAGCGUUGUCCGGAAUUAUUGGGCGUAAAGAGCUCGUAGGCGGUCUGUCGCGUCGGAUGUGAAAAUCCAGGGCUCAACCCUGGACCUGCAUUCGAUACGGGCAGACUAGAGUUCGGUAGGGGAGACUGGAAUUCCUGGUGUAGCGGUGAAAUGCGCAGAUAUCAGGAAGAACACCCGUGGCUAAGGCGGUUCUCUAGUACGGUACUGACGCUGAGACGCGAAAGCGUGGGGAGCGAACAGG
rnacentral:rRNA from 1 species